rnacentral:lncRNA from 1 species
UUUUCAAGCCGCAUUAACUCCAAUUCAAAUUUAUCGUUGAUUGCAUCUUCAGGAGUCUUCCAUAAUAUUUGUAAUAUAUUCCUCCAAACCUUUUCUGCCUUUUCUUCUUCUUCUCGAUUUUUUUUUCUUGCUGAUCCGCGAGGCUGUUGCUGAUGCACCGGACGAAAUCUUUUCCCUUAUGACAUGAUGAUCACUACUGCUGGUGGCGGUAGCUUUGGCUUCAAGAUCAUAAGCCAUAGAGCUAGAAACCGAAUUAAUUAAUAAAUAUAAUUAAUUAAGAUAACUAAAAAAUAAUAAUAAUAAAACAAUGAAGCGCCGCCCUAGACCUUAUUAGUUGAGACUUCGCUUGGGAAGAUGAAGCUAAAACGAAAACAGAAAUAAAUUGGGCACGAAUAUACAACAGAUAAACCCUACCUACCAAAAGAGAAGAGUUAGAC